rnacentral:rRNA from 1 species
AUUGAACGCUGGCGGCAUGCUUUACACAUGCAAGUCGAACGGUAACAGGGUGCUUGCACCGCUGACGAGUGGCGAACGGGUGAGUAAUGCGUCGGAACGUGCCGAGUAGUGGGGGAUAACGCAGCGAAAGUUGUGCUAAUACCGCAUACGUACUGAGGUAGAAAGUGGGGGACCUUCGGGCCUCACGCUAUUCGAGCGGCCGACGUCUGAUUAGCUAGUAGGUGAGGUAAAGGCUCACCUAGGCGACGAUCAGUAGCGGGUCUGAGAGGAUGAGCCGGCACAAUGGGACUGAGACACGGCCCAGACUCCUACGGGAGGCAGCAGUGGGGGAGAUUGGACAAUUGGGGGAACCCUGAUCCAGCCAUGCAGCGUGUGUGAAGAAGGCCUUAUGGUUGUAAAGCACUUUAAGCGAGGAGGAGGCUACUGAGACUAAUACGCUUGGAUAGUGGACGUUACUCGCAGAAUAAGCACCGGCUAACUCUGUGCCAGCCGCCGCAGUAA